rnacentral:rRNA from 1 species
AUGUCGUACGCCUACCUCUUCAAGUACAUCAUCAUCGGCGACACAGGCGUGGGCAAGUCAUGCCUGCUGCUGCAGUUCACCGACAAGAGGUUUCAGCCCGUGCACGACCUCACCAUCGGCGUCGAGUUCGGCGCCCGCAUGAUCACCAUCGACAACAAGCCCAUCAAGCUCCAGAUUUGGGACACGGCUGGCCAAGAAUCAUUCAGAUCUAUAACAAGAUCAUACUACAGAGGUGCUGCUGGUGCUCUUUUGGUUUAUGAUAUCACCAGGAGGGAAACUUUUAACCAUCUUGCGAGCUGGCUAGAAGAUGCAAGACAGCAUGCAAAUGCCAAUAUGACAGUGAUGUUAAUCGGAAACAAAUGUGAUCUGUCUCAUAGACGGGCUGUCAGCUACGAGGAGGGUGAACAGUUCGCCAAGGAGCAUGGUCUAGUCUUUAUGGAGGCAUCUGCAAAAACAGCACAAAAUGUUGAGGAGGCAUUCAUUAAGACGGCUGGAACAAUAUACAAGAAAAUCCAAGAUGGUGUUUUUGAUGUAUCUAAUGAGUCCUACGGAAUCAAAGUUGGCUAUGCUGUCCCCAAUGCAUCUGGAGGUGGUGCUGGCUCGUCCUCUCAAGCAGGUGGCUGCUGCAGUUAA